ACCAGUCCAGCUACCUCACUAUUUACAGUAAAUGCUUGACUUUUCGGUUAAACACGGACUGUGUCAGCAUAGUAUGAACACAGAAGAGUUGCAGUUGUGUUUUUCCUGAAACAUCUCUAGGAUAAACUUUAUUGACUCUCAUCAACCGAUGAGUGUGUAGUUCAGAGGAGCCCGGUGAAUCCCAGUGUCCUGACGUUACGUUGGUGUAUUCAAACGGAAAUAACAGCAGGCUCCUCCCACGCGCCCUCGCCUCCAACCUCCAACGGACWUCAACUGACACCAAUCCAGAAGUUUGCCUCUGUUGUGUUUGGAGUGGGAAACCAUGGGAUAAAACGUUAAAGGGACGAGCUAAAGAGAAGAUCCGCUCAGUCAYAAGGCAGAACUAUGAAGAACUGUGUGGGAUGCCUGGAGCUGCCUGGGGGAAACAACAGCUUGUUGAAUGACUCUGCUUUCAUGUUGUACUUUUACCCUCAUACUUUAAUUUAAGAUUAUCUGUCCUUACUUUAAAUUCUUCUCUAAAUACACUGAUGUUUAACUUUGAACUUUCCAAAGCAUCCCUACUUUGCUUAUGAGGAGAGAAGCACACCACAGGCUGUAUGUAAUCAGAGUGAAUGUAAAUGUGCUUUUCCAUGGAACAUCCCCUGUGAGAUUUUUGCCCCUCAGCCUCAUUUUUGUGGAUGUGACCCCCUGUGUUUUUGCGCUCCUUCUCCACCACCCAUGCAAGGACAACAUCGUGACUCUCUUAUGCCAGAGUAUCACCAAAACCAAUCAGUCUGCAUUCUUUAAGAAAAGARGAACUCUUAUUCUGGUCUGUCUUAUCCUGCAAUCUUGGCGUAGAGUUUGUAGACUUGUUUAUGAAGAAAUUUGAAAAUUAGGUUUCAACGUUGAAGUCGGAGCAUAUUCUGAGCUUUUGUAAACUGAGGCACAGGGUGAUGUCCAGCCAAGUUAUUCUGCAUGGUGACGGGUCAUCACUUCCACUGCCCACUCACUCUGACUGGGACCAGACCAUGAAGGAUUGUGGAUUCUCAGAGAAAGGAUGUUAUCUGUCCCACUGGAUGAUUUUCAAGGAGGUUGCAGUGCUGCUGGCUGUUUCCCUGUCAAUCCCUCCAUUCUCAGCUACAACCUCUAUUAACACGUCCAUUAAUACCACUGCACAGAUGGAAGUCAUCAUCUCGCACCCCCCAAGACGUGUUCAGAUCCCGAUGAUAAUUCCUUAUUCUUCUCCCAAGUCUCUUCCCAAUAGAAGAAUGGUAAUAAACAAUAUGUUUUAUUGAUAGUAAUGCUUUCUUGCUGCUGCUUUCUUUCAAGUAAUG